GAUGAACGCUGGCGGCGUGCUUAACACAUGCAAGUCGAACGGUGAAAGCGGAGCUUGCUCUGCUGGAUCAGUGGCGAACGGGUGAGUAACACGUGAGCAAUCUGCCCCUGACUCUGGGAUAAGCGCUGGAAACGGCGUCUAAUACCGGAUACGAGCUGCGAAGGCAUCUUCAGCAGCUGGAAAGAAUUUCGGUCAGGGAUGAGCUCGCGGCCUAUCAGCUAGUUGGUGAGGUAACGGCUCACCAAGGCGUCGACGGGUAGCCGGCCUGAGAGGGUGACCGGCCACACUGGGACUGAGACACGGCCCAGACUCCUACGGGAGGCAGCAGUGGGGAAUAUUGCACAAUGGGCGCAAGCCUGAUGCAGCAACGCCGCGUGAGGGACGACGGCCUUCGGGUUGUAAACCUCUUUUAGCAGGGAAGAAGCGAAAGUGACGGUACCUGCAGAAAAAGCACCGGCUAACUACGUGCCAGCAGCCGCGGUAAUACGUAGGGUGCAAGCGUUAUCCGGAAUUAUUGGGCGUAAAGAGCUCGUAGGCGGUCUGUCGCGUCUGCUGUGAAAACCCGAGGCUCAACCUCGGGCCUGCAGUGGGUACGGGCAGACUAGAGUGCGGUAGGGGAGAUUGGAAUUCCUGGUGUAGCGGUGGAAUGCGCAGAUAUCAGGAGGAACACCGAUGGCGAAGGCAGAUCUCUGGGCCGUAACUGACGCUGAGGAGCGAAAGGGUGGGGAGCAAACAGGCUUAGAUACCCUGGGUAGUCCACCCCGUAAACGUUGGGAACUAGUUGUGGGGACCAUUCCACGGUUUCCGUGACGCAGCUAACGCAUUAAGUUCCCCGCCUGGGGAGUACGGCCGCAAGGCUAAAACUCAAAGGAAUUGACGGGGACCCGCACAAGCGGCGGAGCAUGCGGAUUAAUUCGAUGCAACGCGAAGAACCUUACCAAGGCUUGACAUAUACGAGAACGGGCCAGAAAUGGUCAACUCUUUGGACACUCGUAAACAGGUGGUGCAUGGUUGUCGUCAGCUCGUGUCGUGAGGUGUUGGGUUAAGUCCCGCAACGAGCGCAACCCUCGUUCUAUGUUGCCAGCACGUCAUGGUGGGAACUCAUGGGAUACUGCCGGGGUCAACUCGGAGGAAGGUGGGGAUGACGUCAAAUCAUCAUGCCCCUUAUGUCUUGGGCUUCACGCAUGCUACAAUGGCCGGUACAAAGGGCUGCAAUACCGUAAGGUGGAGCGAAUCCCAAAAAGCCGGUCCCAGUUCGGAUUGAGGUCUGCAACUCGACCUCAUGAAGUCGGAGUCGCUAGUAAUCGCAGAUCAGCAACGCUGCGGUGAAUACGUUCCCGGGUCUUGUACACACCGC
rnacentral:rRNA from 1 species